CGCAUUCAUAUCUAAAAACAGGUAACGUGACACCAGGUUUUUAAACAGUUGAUGAACCUAUUGAACCUCGGAUUUAGUUGAUGAACCUAUUGUCUACUGUUGAAACAUGAUUUGAUUCAGUAAAUUUUUAUUAUUUGAAUUUUACUGUAUUAAUCAUUAGUCAACAGUUAGUGAGAAACUGGUGUUCUACGUAAUUGAGGUAAAAUUAAUUUUGUUCACUGGUAACAUUCCAAAACAGUUUUUGUGGUUUAUUGUUUUAUAUCUAUAUUGUGCUACUAUAUUGUUUUAAUGAUAGAUUAAUUGAUGAACAUUUCAAUCGUCACCGAAAAUUGAAUUUUCCUGUUUGUUGCAGGCUUGUUUUCCUUUAAUUAGGAGUAUGGUAGACUUAAAGAAGCAGUUCAUAUCUAAACGGCACAAACUGUCAAAAG
rnacentral:lncRNA from 1 species